rnacentral:lncRNA from 1 species
GCUGAGAUUGUGCAGCAGCAGGCACCCCCUUCCUACGGGCAGCUCAUUGCCCAGGGUGCCAUCCCACCUGUAGAAGACUUUCCUACAGAGAAUCCUAAUGAUAACUCAGUGCUGGGCAACCUGCGUUCUCUGCUACAGAUCUUACGCCAGGAUAUGACUCCAGGAGGUGGCCCAGGUGCCCGCCGUCGUCAGCGGGGCCGCUUGAUGCGACGCCUGCAGUCCUGGCCCUGGAAGAUGAGGACGAUGUGCUACUGGUGCCACUGGCUGAGCCGGGGGUGUGGGUAGCUGAGGCAGAGGAUGAGCCACUGCUUACCUGAGGGGACCUGGGGGCUCUACUGAGGCCUCUCCCCUGGGGGCUCUACUCAUAGUGGCACAACCUUUUAGAGGGCCUGGCUCACAAAAAGAGUGCAACAAAUGCUUCUAUUCCAUAGCUACGGCAUUGCUCAGUAAGUUGAGGUCAAAAAUAAAGGAAUCAUACAUCUCAAA